AAAAAAAAUAAAUUUAGAAGGUCCAGUUGGAGAUGCUCUUACAUUUUGCGACAUCUAUCUUAUCUUAACGUCGACGUUUGAUGAUCUGUAGAUAGUCCGUCUACCACUUAAACACGUGAAUACUCGCGUGACUUUACUAGGCAAAAUGAGAAUCGCAAUUCCUUCCUAAUCCCAGGUUCUCUCUUCUUGAAAACCCUAAAUCCCCAAAUCUCUCUGCUAAUUUCAUACAAGAGGAAGAAGCUUUCCUUGAAGUUUUCCUUGAAGUUAUCGAAAAUUGCAAUUCCUUGCAAAAUCAGGGGCGAAAGUCGGUGAUAAAUUCCUCGUAACGGGAAUGGAUUGAGAAUUCUCUUGCACACAUCCUCAGAAGAACGUGGGACUUCCUACCAAGGUUUUAAUACGACUGUUAUGACGGUGUAAUGGACAAGGCUGUUACAAGUAUAACUCUUACAAAUGUUUCUCAUUAUACUGUCCGUAGGCCGUUCAUGAUGGUUACUGAUCGUGACACUUUUACCUAGAAAACACCAAUGUCUGGUGACAGUUACUGUUAUAGUGAUCGUUCUUCAAACCAGUGUUUCAAGAACAUCCGUUGGUAGCGGUCAUUUACCAUUAAUGUUGCAUGCUGAAAACAUUUUUUUCUACCAUGACAGCGAAAAACAGUUAUUACAGUCAUUAUUUGGGAGAAAUAAUGGUAAAGUACUGUGAUUGUAACUUUAUGUUUCUUGGGUGGUUUUUUCUUGUUUUGUUUAUUGCAAAGAUGGUAGUAACGGCGGUUUAAUUUUUAUUCUCUCGAUAUAAUGACAGUUACUACAGUUGUAUCCCAAGUUUUACUAUCAAGUUUCCGCUUUUGUUCAUUUAGGUUCUUUUCAAAUUCAUGCUGUAAUUAAAAUAGUGUAUGUAGUUUAGUCAGCCCUCCUUAUUUCGUCUGCUAUCAGCAAUUCGUUGUACUCCAUUCUAUAUGAAUUUUCUUUAGAUAUUUGAUGCUGUGUCCUGUAAAGAAGUUUUAAUCAAAAUUUGGUAUCGCGUCUUUUGUAAUUUUGCAAGGAAUGUGUUCUAGGUGCUGUGCGCUUGUGCACAUUUUUGUUCGUGUCCUGGAUAAAAGUUUAGUCAUACUUUAUGUCGUUCUUUUUUUUUAAUCUCGUACAGAAUGUGUUUUCUUAGCAGUGAAAUUGCAGACAUUUUUUUUUAAAAGUUUUUCUUGACCACGGCUCAGGUCCUGCCUUGCAAGGAGGAUGGUAAAAGUCUUGUUAACUUCUGCUCUAUUAUUGAUUUGUUUGCAUG